GUGAGGAAUAUUGCGCAAUGGAGGCAACUCUGACGCAGCCAUGCCGCGUGCAGGAAGAAGGCGCUACGCGUUGUAAACUGCUUUUAACCGGGAAGAAACCCCAGGACGUGUCCUGGGUUGACGGUACCGGAGGAAUAAGCACCGGCUAACUUCGUGCCAGCAGCCGCGGUAAUACGAAGGGUGCAAGCGUUAUCCGGAUUCAUUGGGUUUAAAGGGUGCGUAGGCGGAGCGUUAAGUCAGUGGUGAAAUCCUGCAGCUGAACUGUGGACUUGCCAUUGAUACUGGCGCUCUUGAGUGCGCUUGAAGUGGGCGGAAUGUGCCGUGUAGCGGUGAAAUGCUUAGAUAUGGCACAGAACACCAAUUGCGAAGGCAGCUCACUAAGGCGAUACUGACGCUGAGGCACGAAAGCGUGGGGAUCGAACCGGAUUAGAUACCCCUGUAGUCC
rnacentral:rRNA from 1 species